rnacentral:lncRNA from 1 species
GCUUUCCGCCAGGACACAGGGAGCCGCCGCAGAGACUUUUGCUGCAGUCAGAAGAACCGGAACAUGUACAACAGUCUGAGAGCCAAUGAGAGUGGAAAGCAAGGGAAAACACGUCCACCUCUGUCACCAAGAGUCCACACAACAGAGAAAGAGGGCAAAAGUUGGAGAGGUUUCUUCCACUGGACACUGACAUGUACCUUGGAAACCAAGCACCCUACAGGGCAGAGAUACCAACCCUGAUAAUCAGCCAACUGCCACUUGUCUGCAGCUCUGUGGCCUGAAGGAUCAGGAGAUGUUCAGGAGAUGUUCUCUUGACACCAUGUGAUUACUUAUUCUAUUUAGUGUUGCAGACAUGUCAUGUCCCAUUUCCCGUGUGCCGUGCUGCAGUGUUUCACAAUGACAAUCACUUUCACAAUUUUCUCACCUUACUAUUCGUACUGAGCCCUGUGUCGUCCCAGUGAAACCUGACCCAUGAUUCUGGUGGUUUAUCAUUAAAUAAAACUGAGAGAUUUCUCCUGCA